rnacentral:rRNA from 1 species
UACGGAAGAUUCGAGCGUUAUCCGGAUUUAUUGGGUUUAAAGGGAGCGUAGGCGGGUUGUUAAGUCAGUUGUGAAAGUUUGCGGCUCAACCGUAAAAUUGCAGUUGAUACUGGCAUCCUUGAGUACAGUAGAGGUAGGCGGAAUUCGUGGUGUAGCGGUGAAAUGCUUAGAUAUCACGGAGAACUCCGAUUGCGAAGGCAGCCUGCUGGACUGUAACUGACGCUGAUGCUCGAAAGUGUGGGUAUCAAACAGG